UUACAGAGGAGGGGAGAGAGCAGGGCGACUGUGGUGGUGGGGAAUAUAUGUGUCCACCGAGUUGAUAAAGGGGCAGAGGGAAAGGGUGAGAUGUAUCAUUUGAAUUUGGAGGUCAAUGUUCGUAGUCUGAAGAAGUGUCUCAAUUCCUUCUCUCCAGAGAUGUUGCCUGUCCCGCUGAGUUACUCCGGCUUUUUGUGUCUAUCUUGUGCCCUUCCUGCACAGAUGAUAGCUGAGGCCGAUCCAGAGAUUGCUAAUUAAUGGAGGGCAGCACUACUGCGUUUGUGAUGGCGUGGACAUGGGGGUCCAUAAAUUCAUCUUGAUUUUGUGAUUGCUGAUUUUUUAAAAUCGCAACCUGUGUUGCCUUUACCUGCUGCAACCGGGCAUUGAAUAGGGGAGCAGGCUGUUGGAGUCGGCAACUGCUGGAUUUCUUCAUUUAACUGCAAAUAUAAAUUG